rnacentral:rRNA from 1 species
CCGUAACUAUAACGGUCCUAAGGUAGCGAAAUUCCUUGUCGGGUAAGUUCCGACCUGCACGAAUGGCAUAACGAUGGCCACACUGUCUCCUCCCGAGACUCAGUGAAGUUGAAAUGUUUGUGAUGAUGCAAUCUACCCGCGGCUAGACGGAAAGACCCCAUGAACCUUUACUGCAGCUUUGCAUUGAACUGUGAACCGAUUUGUGUAGGAUAGGUGGGAGGCAGAGAAGAGGCCACGCCAGUGGCCUUGGAGCCGACCUUGAAAUACCACCCUGAUUUGUUUGCGGUUCUAACCACGGACAGUGAUCCUGUCUUGGGACCGUGCAUGGUAGGCAGUUUGACUGGGGCGGUCUCCUCCUAAAGGGUAACGGAGGAGUACGAAGGUACGCUAGGUACGGUCGGAAAUCGUGCUGAUAGUGCAAUGGCAAAAGCGUGCUUGACUGCGAGAGCAACAACUCGAGCAGAUGCGAAAGCAGGUCAUAGUGAUCCGGUGGCUCUGAAUGGAAGGGCCAUCGCUCAACGGAUAAAAGGUACUCUGGGGAUAACAGGCUGAUACCGCCCAAGAGUUCAUAUCGACGGCGGUGUUUGGCACCUCGAUGUCGGCUCAUCUCAUCCUGGGGCUGUAGUCGGUCCCAAGGGUAUGGCUGUUCGCCAUUUAAAGAGGUACGUGAGCUGGGUUUAAAACGUCGUGAGACAGUUUGGUCCCUAUCUGCCGUGGGCGUUGGAAGAUUGACGGGGGCUGCUCCUAGUACGAGAGGACCGGAGUGGACGCACCUCUGGUGUACCGGUUGUCACGCCAGUGGCAUUGCCGGGUAGCUAAGUGCGGAAGAGAUAACCGCUGAAAGCAUCUAAGCGGGAAACUUGCCUGAAGAUGAGUCUUCCCGGAGGUUGAACCUCCCUCAAGAGUCGUCCGAGACCAGGACGUCGAUAGGUCAGGUGUGUAAGCGCUGUAAGGCGUUGAGCUAACUGAUACUAAUUGCUCGUGAGGCUUGAUCCU